AUUGAACGCUGGCGGCAGGCCUAACACAUGCCAGUCGAGCGGAUGAAGGGAGCUUGCUCCUGGAUUCAGCGGCGGACGGGUGAGUAAUGCCUAGGAAUCUGCGUGGUAGUGGGGGAUAACGGCCGGAAACGGGCGCUAAUACCGCAUACGUCCUGAGGGAGAAAGAGGGGGAUCUUCGUACCUCACGCUAUCAGAUGAGCCUAGGGCGGAUUAGCUAGUUGGUGGGGUGAAGGCCUACCAAGGCGACGAUCCGUAACUGGUCUGAGAGGAUGAUCAGUCACACUUGAACUGAGACACGGUCCAGACUCCUACGGGAGGCAGCAGUGGGGAAUAUUGGACGAUGGGCGAAAGCCUGAUCCAGACAUGCCGCGUGUGUGAAGAAGGUCUUCGGAUUGUAAAGCACUUUAAGUUGGGAGGAAGGGCAGUAAGUUAAUACCUUGCUGUUUUGACGGUACCAACAGAAUAAGCACCGGCUAACUUCGUG
rnacentral:rRNA from 1 species